rnacentral:rRNA from 1 species
UACGUAGGGGGCAAGCGUUGUCCGGAAUUAUUGGGCGUAAAGAGCGUGUAGGCGGUCCGGUAAGUCAGCUGUGAAAGUCAAGGGCUCAACCCUUGAAUGCCGGUUGAUACUGUCGGGCUAGAGUCCGGAAGAGGCGAGUGGAAUUCCCGGUGUAGCGGUGAAAUGCGCAGAUAUCGGGAGGAACACCAAUGGCGAAGGCAGCUCGCUGGGACGGUACUGACGCUGAGACGCGAAAGCGUGGGAGCGAACAGG